rnacentral:piRNA from 1 species
AUGCUGAACAAUACAGAAACGGCCCAGCUGC